rnacentral:tRNA from 1 species
GAUGCAGUGGCCGAGUGGUUUAAGGCUUACACUCGCUACCUUUUGCCUGCGUGCGGGCCGCUAGACGAGUGUUUUUCAACUCUUACAUUGGGGUUCGCGGGUUCGAAUCCCGCCUGCAUCC